UACAGAGGGGGCAAGCGUUGUUCGGAAUUACUGGGCGUAAAGGGCGCGUAGGCGGCCUUCUAAGUCGAACGUGAAAUCCCCGGGCUCAACCCGGGAACUGCGUCCGAUACUGGAAGGCUUGAAUCCGGGAGAGGGAUGCGGAAUUCCAGGUGUAGCGGUGAAAUGCGUAGAUAUCUGGAGGAACACCGGUGGCGAAGGCGGCAUCCUGGACCGGUAUUGACGCUGAGGCGCGAAAGCCAGGGGAGCAAAGCGGGG
rnacentral:rRNA from 1 species